rnacentral:rRNA from 1 species
UACGAAGGGGGCUAGCGUUGCUCGGAAUCACUGGGCGUAAAGCGCACGUAGGCGGCUUUCUAAGUCAGGGGUGAAAUCCUGGAGCUCAACUCCAGAACUGCCUUUGAUACUGGAGAGCUUGAGUCCGGGAGAGGUGAGUGGAACUCCGAGUGUAGAGGUGAAAUUCGUAGAUAGUUCGGAAGAACACCAGUGGCAGAAGGCGGCUCACUGGCCCGGUACUGACGCUGAUGUGCGAAAGCGUGGGGAGCAAACAGGG